rnacentral:tRNA from 2 species
GCGGAAGUGAUGAAACGGCAGACAUGCAGGCUUCAGGUGCCUGUGCCAGCAAUGGCGUGUGGGUUCAAAUCCCAUCUUCCGCACCA